UCUGAAAUGUUUCACCGUCGACAAGCCUGCUAGACUUAAAGUCUGAAACAUAUCACUGGCAUCAAGCCUGCUAGGCACCGAGCCUGAACACUCAAUUUAUAUAAAUACAAAUCACUUUCAAAAUGUAUAUGUAUAUAAGAUUCCAUGUAUAAAAAUUUAGCUCAAUAUAUAUAAAUUAUGCCUUUAAACCACAUAGGUAUAUAAAGUUCAGAUAUUGAAUCCAGCUCAAUAACUUAAUUAUACAUAUGAUCAUAUACAGAUAUAUAACUUAAUACAUUAAGGGCUACUAUUAAUAUCAUGCAUUCGAACAUCUUAUAGUAAUCCAAGCUAACAAUUUUGUACCUUCAACUCCAUUCAAAAGCUUCACAUGAAUAUAAUUACAUAAUUGAAUCUCACAUAAACUUAUAUAAUUAUCAUACCUAAAUUCAAUACAUAAACAUGUACAUAUAUAAGUUUGUAUAUAUUCGAGUCUCAUACAUACUUUAUAAAAUAGUCAUACCUAAAUUUAACACAAAAACAUAUUCAAUUAUAUUUGUAUUUCCAAACUUCAUAUAAACUUAUAUAAAAAUUAUACCCAAACUCAAUACAAAAACAUAUACAUGUAAAUAUAUAUUUAUGUGCUCAUUCAAUUCUAUCAUAUACAUAUAAAUUUCAACUCACAUGUACAUACCAUUUCAAAACUACUUAUGCAAAUAUAACAUAUAUAUUUUUAAUCAAUCCAAUAGUUUGUACAUAUAUGUACUUACAUAUAUAUAUACAUUCGAACCUUCUAUAUAUAUACACUAUACAUACCUUUCGAUUAAUAACCAAGAAUUUAUACAUAAGCCAUAUUCAUUCUUCAACUAAAUUCAAGAGCUUACAUAUAUGUGUAUACAUAUAUGUAUAUUCGAACAUUAAUCAUAUAUUUAUAUAUAUACAUAUCAUUUUUACUUUGACUAAAUUCAAGCUAUAUACUUUCAAUUUAAGCUCAUCCAAAUACAAUAUAUAUAUGUAUAUUAAUUAAUAACAUUAAAUUGCUAGUUGACUUACCUCGGACGGUGAAAAAUCGAAAUCGGACGAUUAUUCGACGAUUUUAUCUUUCCCCCGAUCAAACUCCGAUUUCUUUGGUUCUUGAUCUAAAUAUAUCCAGAAUGAGCUAAUUUAAAUAUUAAAACAUUCAAUUUAAUCCAAAAACACAUAAAUAAGAAAAUUACCAUUUUGCCCCUAAUAUUUUACACUUUUUGCAAUUUAAUCCCAAUUGCAUAAAACACAAUUUACACAAAAUCUCACAACAACAUAGCUAGGCCGAAUCUUCCUUGUAUUCAUACAAGUCCAUGCAUUUCAUUUAUUUUUCAUUUUAGUCCCUCAAAAAUUUAUUUUUUUAAUUUAGUCCUAAUUACUCAAAUUUACCAAAAAUUUAAAGACAAAACAUGUUAAUCUAACACAUAUAUUUCAUAAUCCAUCAUCAAACAUCAUAGAACACAAUUAUUCAUUAAUGGCAUAACUCAAAAUAUUCAUCAAAAUCAAAAAUUCUAGCAUGGGUCAGAUAGUAUUCGAAGCAACGAUCUCAAAAAUAUAAAAAUUAUCAAAAACCGAGCUAGAACUCACCUUGAAUCAAGCUCAACAAUGGCCGAAUACCCUAGCUUUGUUUCUUUAAUUUCUUUUGUUUUGUUUCGUGAUGAAGAUGAAGGGAAAAAAAUGAUAAUGGCUUUUUUUUAAUGUUUAUUAUAACAUAAUAAUAUAUUAUACCUUAUUAUAACAUAUAUAUAUUAUAUUAAUAAUAUAAGAAAACCAUAUAUAUCACCUAAUGCCGUCCACUAACUUGGAAAAUGGCUUAAUUGCCACAUAGAACCUCCAAUUUAUAAAGACAAAAACAAUUAAGCACUUUCAUAUUUAACCCUCAAAUUUUCACUUUACGCGAUUUAGUCAUUUUCUCAAAUUAAGCAUACAAACAGUAAAAUUAUUUCACGAAACUUUCACAUAUAUAAUUUCACACAUAUUUAACACAGAAAAUAAUAUUAAAAUAUUUUUAGACUCGGAUUCGUGGUCUCGAAACCACUUUGUCCGAUUAGGGUCAAAAUUGGGCUGUUACAGUUUCAUUCAAUUUACACAUUUUAAGUUCUAGCUAAUCAUAUUCAUGAUAAAUACAUGUAUAUAGAUUAAGUUUAGAAAACAUUUACUUGCUAAUUGACUUACCUCGGACGAUGAAAAAUCGAAAUCGGACGAUUAUUCGACGACUUUAGCUUUUCCCUGAUCUAACUUCGAUUUCUUUGGUUCUUGAU
rnacentral:lncRNA from 1 species